UGUCUUGUAGUAUAUAAAUCAAUAUUACCGUAAACUGCAACUUUACUAAAGCAGACAGCCAAGACAU
rnacentral:tRNA from 1 species